GUCACAGCAAACCACAGAGGGAGUGACUCAAAGCAAAGGGAGCUUCCCAGUCAAGUCACUGUCCAGAGCGGGCACGUGCCAACUCUGCACCUCAGACCCAGGCUCCUGCUGCUUCCGGGAUCUACCAAGCUGACCUGCUUCCAGCUACCUCCCCACCGGGCCCCCUUCCAGGCAGCAGGCUUCUGGGAGAAGAAGACUGUGCCCACAUCUCCAGGCCCAUGCCAGAGUGGUGCCCACACAUCCCUGGUCUCUGCAAUCCAAGUCCUGGGAUCCCUCACAGCCUGAGCUUGGAAACUCAGCCACAUGUAGCCAUCAGAGAAAUGUGACUGUCCAUGUUGGAAGUGCUCCAUCACGUGGCCGGCAUCAGAGGAAAACAUAAAGGGGGAAGAUAGAUUGCUGCUCAUAACAUCGAGGUUUCAGUUCAUGGUUGGCUGCCUCCACAGGGAAGAACAUUGCGGCAAGGAGCACAGGAGAAAGCAAAGCUUCUCACCUCAUGGCGGCCAGGAGACACACAGGCCUAGAGAAGUCAGGAACAAGCUGUGUCCUUCAAAGGUACCCCUAGAGACCCAACCCCUCCGACCAAGCCUUGCACCAUCUCUCAGGAAUGCCCUCCAUUUACGUCUCUGCCAAUGGGUCCAUCCACUGAGGAACCUGACCUCUUACUAUCUAGUCACUUCCAACAAGCCCAUCAGCUGGCAGCAGAGUCACUGAUACAUGAGCCCUUGGGUACAGCUCAGGUUCAAACUGCAACACUGCCUGUCCUAGCCACGACAUAAGGAGGAACCAGAGGAGGAGCAAAAGACAACCAGUGUACGAAAGAAGUUAAUUAAAAUUCCAUUAAGUGUAA